AGCAGUAGCUUGCUUCUCUUGAGAGCGGCGGACGGGUGAGUAAUGCCUAGGAAUCUGCCUGGUAGUGGGGGAUAACGUUCGGAAACGGACGCUAAUACCGCAUACGUCCUACGGGAGAAAGCAGGGGACCUUCGGGCCUUGCGCUAUCAGAUGAGCCUAGGUCGGAUUAGCUAGUUGGUGAGGUAAUGGCUCACCAAGGCGACGAUCCGUAACUGGUCUGAGAGGAUGAUCAGUCACACUGGAACUGAGACACGGUCCAGACUCCUACGGGAGGCAGCAGUGGGGAAUAUUGGACAAUGGGCGAAAGCCUGAUCCAGCCAUGCCGCGUGUGUGAAGAAGGUCUUCGGAUUGUAAAGCACUUUAAGUUGGGAGGAAGAGCAGUUACCUAAUACGUGAUUGUUUUGACGUUACCGACAGAAUAAGCACCGGCUAACUCUGUGCCAGCAGCCGCGGUAAUACAGAGGGUGCAAGCGUUAAUCGGAAUUACUGGGCGUAAAGCGCGCGUAGGUGGUUAGUUAAGUUGGAUGUGAAAUCCCCGGGCUCAACCUGGGAACUGCAUUCAAAACUGACUGACUAGAGUAUGGUAGAGGGUGGUGGAAUUUCCUGUGUAGCGGUGAAAUGCGUAGAUAUAGGAAGGAA
rnacentral:rRNA from 1 species